rnacentral:rRNA from 1 species
GACGAACGCUGGCGGCGUGCCUAAUACAUGCAAGUCGAACGAGAGCGACCGGUGCUUGCACUGGUCAAUCUAGUGGCGAACGGGUGAGUAACACGUGGGUAACCUGCCCAUCAGAGGGGGAUAACAUUCGGAAACGGAUGCUAAAACCGCAUAGGUUCUACAGUCGCAUGACUGAAGAAGGAAAAGAGGCUUCGGCUUCUGCUGAUGGAUGGACCCGCGGUGCAUUAGCUAGUUGGUGAGGUAACGGCUCACCAAGGCCGUGAUGCAUAGCCGACCUGAGAGGGUGAUCGGCCACAUUGGGACUGAGACACGGCCCAAACUCCUACGGGAGGCAGCAGUAGGGAAUCUUCCGCAAUGGACGCAAUGUCUGACGGAGCAACGCCGCGUGAGUGAAGAAGGAUUUCGGUUCGUAAAAC